rnacentral:rRNA from 1 species
GACGUAGGGGGCCAGCGUUGUUCGGAAUUACUGGGUGUAAAGGGUUCGUAGGCGGUGCGGCAAGUUGGGAGUGAAAUCUCUGGGCUUAACCCAGAGGCUGCUUCCAAAACUGCCGUGCUCGAGGAAGAUAGAGGUAAGCGGAACUUACGGUGGAGCGGUGAAAUGCGUAGAUAUUGGGAGGAACACCAGUGGCGAAGGCGGCUCACUGGACUGGUACUGACGCUGAGGUGCGAAAGCGUGGGGAGCAAACAGG